CUAGGAGCAGCUGCCCGGGCCGGGCGCGGUCGGGCAGUGCGGGGAGCGGUGUCCCCUCGCUGACGCCGCGCUGGCUGGGGUCUCGGUCGGGUGAAGGCCGGGUGCGCGCGUGUGUCCUGAGCCUCCGUGCAGCAGGGCGGGCUGCGCACAGCCGGGGACUCUGAUUGAGCAGAGAAACCUCAAACCCAUCCGACGCAAACCGCGAUCUCCCUCCGGACUGGAGCUCCGGGCUGGGCUGGAAAUGCAUAGGGAGAGACAAGUUGCCAAUUGGUGUUAAAAAGUAGGGCUUGCUUUUCAGAAGUCUUUAUGCACCGUCUGAGAUUGCAGAGAAAUCUGCCUCCCUGGAGGGGCCGCCUCCCACCCCCCGCCCCGGGCAAGUUUGUGUUGUGGACUCGUAAGGUGGCUUCUCCGCGUGUGGGCUGCUGUUUUAUUUAAAAGCAAAAACGUCCAGGAGCCGCUGCCUGGAAUCUGCUGUUGGCCCUUGGAGGGUUUUCAGGGCUCAGCUUCCUGGUAGUAAAGUGUCCAUUUGAAAUCCCUUCCCAGUGUAGCUCCCCCUGAUGCUAAACUGACUCAGUGACUGGGAAACACUGGUCGGGGGGCAGCCCUCCUGCUGGUCCUCAGUCCUCCAGAGGAAGUAAUCCCGGGAGGGAGGAAGCUGAAUGAAUGUGCCUCUCCAAAAAAAAAAAAAAAAAAAAAACAGAAUUCCUGAUGAAGACCAGGUUUGGUGUAGUCAAAACUGAGUCUCUCUCCCAGCUAUCAUGGAAGUGAAGGAGAAGAGUGGCAAAGGAGACAGGUUGGAUUGGGAAGAUACAUGAGAAUGUACACAGUAGCAGGAGAAAUUUAAUAAGUGCUGGAAUUGUUUGGAUUUAUGAGUCUCAGACUCUUACUUGAUAUCAGCAAUUCUGCGAAGAGUUGAACCAUGAAACAUAAAGAGAAGAAAAAACACCAGCAGAAGAAACCCUUAAAACAACCUGUGAAAAAGUCAAGGGGUACAAGAGGAAAGUUGGAUUUACAAGAUGUUCUGCAGGGUAGAGCCAAGGUGCUGGCCCAUACUCAAGGCCACAAAGUGGCGGACAGUUCUUCCUCACCCUCAGAGGACUUCUCUUAUAAAGACAAAUUCUUGGAUGCAGGUCCUGGAUCCUGCAAGAGGCUUUUAAAUCAAGAUUUGAUGGAGAAGGAGAAUUUCUCCUCCAUGGCACAUUCUCAUUUACCUUCCUCCUUGGCCAAUAACCCCCUAGAGUCUGCAACAUCUACUGAAAAGAAAAGAGUCCUGAAUGUCUACUAUCAGCCUGUCCCAAUGAAAAGGGGUACGGCUUCCUUGGGGGAUACAGAAGAUGAUUUGGAGCCCCCCACAAAGAUGACAAGAAUAGCAAGAAUGACCUUUCCUGAGAAGAUCCCUUCAAAAGCCAGCCUCUCUUCUGUGUGCCUAAGAGAUGUCCUAACUGACAGUGAAAAUGGCCUGCCCGGGGAAGGGCAAGAGGAAAGGGAAGAGGCUGAGAAUCUGGCCCGGGAUUCGGUGCUGGAGGACCUGUACAGUGGCUUCAGGUGCAUGGGCUGCGACCAGGUCUUCCCCAAUAUGCGGAUGCUUAAGAAACACCUGGAGGAUGGGGUUGAGGGUGGUGCUUCAUGCCUUAGUCUUGCAUUUGCCAAACUAAGGAACAAAAUGAAGCAAAGCAAGAGAAUCACAGAGGGGGAGGAUGGGAAUAUGACAACAUCUGGAGGUGAUAUGGAGACACUUGUGAUGUUCUUGUUACUUGUGGCUUUUUGUUUUUUCUUUUACUAUUAUAAUAAAUAGAAAUUAAAUCAUAUGUUUCCGGAAGUAAUAAAUUAGAGACAAUAACACAAGAGGACACCAGAAAACUUUUCCAUCCACAAAAUAGCAGAAAAAAUAAGCAUCUUCACAAGCUAAGCCUUUGGUUAGUUUUUUUCUUUCCAUCUCUGUUCUCUCACCCACAUCAGCCUGCUGUUUCCAGAAUGGGUCUCAAGGUUUGUAUUUACCUUUGGUUUAUUAUUUAUUUUCAUUAGUACAUGUUGGUAGUGCAUAAAGUUUACAGACCUGGGGAGCAAUUGGUACAGGUACGUAACACAUCUUACACUUCCUUUUUAUCAUCCCCUUUCCCUCUCCUCCCACCCCCACCCUCUCCGCCUUUUGAUCUUUUCC
rnacentral:lncRNA from 1 species